GCCAGCCGCCGCGGUAACACCGGCGGCCCGAGUGGUGAUCGUGAUUAUUGGGUCUAAAGGGUCCGUAGCCGGUUUGGUCAGUCCUCCGGGAAAUCUGAUAGCUCAACUAUUAGGCUUUCGGGGGAUACUGCCAGACUUGGAACCGGGAGAGGUAAGAGGUACUACAGGGGUAGGAGUGAAAUCUUGUAAUCCCUGUGGGACCACCUGUGGCGAAGGCGUCUUACCAGAACGGGUUCGACGGUGAGGGACGAAAGCUGGGGGCACGAACCGGAUUAGAUACCCGGGUAGUCCCAGCCGUAAACGAUGCUCGCUAGGUGUCAGGCAUGGCGCGACCGUGUCUGGUGCCGCAGGGAAGCCGUGAAGCGAGCCACCUGGGAAGUACGGCCGCAAGGCUGAAACUUAAAGGAAUUGGCGGGGGAGCACAACAACGGGUGGAAGCCUGCGGUUUAAUUGGACUCAACGCCGGACAACUCACCGGGGGCGACAGCAAUAUGUAGGCCAAGCUGAAGACUUUGCCUGAAUCGCUGAGGGGAGGUGCAUGG
rnacentral:rRNA from 1 species